rnacentral:rRNA from 1 species
UACGUAGGGUGCGAGCGUUAAUCGGAAUUACUGGGCGUAAAGCGUGCGCAGGCGGUUUUGUAAGUCUGUCGUGAAAGCCCCGGGCUCAACCUGGGAAAUUGCGAUGGAGACUGCAAGGCUUGAAUCUGGCAGAGGGGGGUAGAAUUCCACGUGUAGCAGUGAAAUGCGUAGAGGAUGUGGAGGAACACCAGUGGCGAAGGCGGCAUCCUGGACCAACACUGACGCUGAGGAGCGAAAGCCAGGGGAGCAAACGGG